rnacentral:rRNA from 1 species
GACGAACGCUGGCGGCGUGCUUAACACAUGCAAGUCGAACGGUGAAGGGACCGGUUUUUGCUGGUUCCGGAUGAGUGGCGAACGGGUGAGUAACACGUGAGUAACCUGCCCCCUUCUUCUGGAUAACCGCAUCAAAGUGUGGCUAAUACGGGAUAUUCUGCGCCUGCUGCAUGGUGGGUGUGGGUAAGGUAUUGUUUCGUUGGGGGAUGGGCUCGCGGCCUAUAAGCUUGUUGGUGGGGUGAUAGCCUACCAAGGCGGUGACGGGUAGCCGGCCUGAGAGGGUAGACGGUCAGAGUGGGACUGAGGCACGGUCCAGACUGCUACGGGGGGCAGCAGUGGAGAGGAGGGCACAGUGGGCGCAAGCGUGAAGCAGCGAGGCGGCGGGAGGGGUGGAGGCCUUCGGGUUGUAAACCUCUUUCGCCAGUGAAGCACGCCUGUCCCUUAUGUGGGUGGGGUGACGGUAGCUGGAUAAGAAGCGCCGGCUAACUACGUG